rnacentral:misc_RNA from 1 species
GAUGAAGAACGUAGCGAAAUGCGAUAAGUAAUGUGAAUUGCAGAAUUCAGUGAAUCAUCGAAUCUUUGAACGCACAUUGCGCCCCUUGGUAUUCCGGGGGGCAUGCUUCUUCCAGCGUCAUUUCACCCCUCAAGCUCUGCUUGGUUUUGGGCCGCGCCGGCAACGGCGGGCCUCGAAAAUAGUGGCGACGCCAUCGUGCUCUCAGCGUAGUAAUUCUUCUCGCUGUUGGGUCCCGGUGGUCGUCCGCCAGCAACCCCCAACUUUCUUAAGUUUGACCUGGGAUGAGGUAGGGAUACCCGCUGAACUUAAGCAUAUCAAUAAGCGGAGGA